GAUGAAGAACGUAGCGAAAUGCGAUAAGUAAUGUGAAUUGCAGAAUUCAGUGAAUCAUCGAAUCUUUGAACGCACAUUGCGCCCUCUGGUAUUCCGGGGGGCAUGCCUGUUCGAGCGUCAUUAUAACCACUCAAGCUCUCGCUUGGUAUUGGGGUUCGCGGUUUCGCGGCCCCUAAAAUCAGUGGCGGUGCCUGUCGGCUCUACGCGUAGUAAUACUUCUCGAUUGAGUUCGAUAGGUCUACUUGCCAGUAACCCCCAAUUUUUACAGGUUGACCUCGGAUCAGGUAGGGAUACCCGCUGAACUUAAGCAUAUCAAUAAGCGGAGGA
rnacentral:misc_RNA from 1 species